CAUGCAAGUCGAACGCGAAAGGGGGGCAACCCCCGAGUAGAGUGGCGAACGGGUGAGUAAUACAUCGGAACGUGCCCAGUAGCGGGGGAUAACCUCUCGAAAGAGAGGCUAAUACCGCAUACGACCUACGGGUGAAAGAGGGGGAUCGCAAGACCUCUCACUAUUGGAGCGGCCGAUGUCGGAUUAGCUAGUUGGUGGGGUAAAGGCCCACCAAGGCGACGAUCCGUAGCUGGUCUGAGAGGACGACCAGCCACACUGGAACUGAGACACGGUCCAGACUCCUACGGGAGGCAGCAGUGGGGAAUAUUGGACAAUGGGCGAAAGCCUGAUCCAGCCAUGCCGCGUGUGUGAAGAAGGUCUUCGGAUUGUAAAGCACUUUAAGUUGGGAGGAAGGGCAUUUACCUAAUACGUAAGUGUUUUGACGUUACCGACAGAAUAAGCACCGGCUAACUCUGUGCCAGCAGCCGCGGUAAUACAGAGGGUGCAAGCGUUAAUCGGAAUUACUGGGCGUAAAGCGCGCGUAGGUGGUUCGUUAAGUUGGAUGUGAAAUCCCCGGGCUCAACCUGGGAACUGCAUCCAAAACUGGCGAGCUAGAGUAUGGUAGAGGGUGGGUGGAAUUUCCUGUGUAGCGGUGAAAUGCGUAGAUAUAAGGAAGGAACACCAGUGGCGAAGGCGACCACCUGGACUGAUACUGACACUGA
rnacentral:rRNA from 1 species